AUUACCUGAGAGAGCAGGAUGCUUCGGCAUCUGUAGUAUCAGAUAAGGAUGUGGAUUUGUGUAGAUGGCAUGAGCGUAUGGGACAUUUGAAUGCUAGGGAUCUUAUGAAAGUACUGAAGAAAUCGGUCAUAGACGCCACCAAGUCUGAUACUGAAUUGCGCGAUUGUGAUGUGUGUGCUAAGGGAAAGAUGGUUGCGUUGCCUUUUGUGAAGUCCAGUCAGCCAUGUGACGAAAAGUUAAAAAUAAUUUAUUCUGAUGUGGUAGGCCCAAUGAGAGUUCAAUCAAAUGCGGGAAACAAAUAUUUUGUUACAUUUAUUGAUGAUUGUACUCGUUGGUGUGAAGUUUUUAUGUUGAAAAAUAAAAGUGACGUCUUGUCAAAGUUUAAAAUAUUUAAAUGUCAGAUCGAAAAUUUGACAGGUAAACAAAUAAAAUAUUUCCAUUCCGAUAAUGGCAAGGAAUUUGUGAAUAGUGAUUUUUCGAAAUUUUUACAAGAAAAUGGAAUAAAAAGGAGGUUGACUACGCCGUAUUCACCGCAGAGUAAUGGAAUUGCAGAACGGAUGAAUCGCACCUUACUGGAGAAGGCAAGAUAACAUUCGGUGCGAAAGUUCAUGUUUUGGAAAAGGAGCCAGGAAAGGAUAAGUUCGCAGCACGAAGUUCUCCCGGCAUUUUUGUGGGCUACCCGGCUGAAUCUGGUGGCUAUAGGGUGUGGAUAUCCGAGAAAAGAAAAA